GAAUAAGCACCGGCUAACUACGUGCCAGCAGCCGCGGUAAUACGUAGGGUGCGAGCGUUAAUCGGAAUUACUGGGCGUAAAGCGUGCGCAGGCGGUUUGCUAAGACCGAUGUGAAAUCCCCGGGCUCAACCUGGGAACUGCAUUGGUGACUGGCAGGCUAGAGUAUGGCAGAGGGGGGUAGAAUUCCACGUGUAGCAGUGAAAUGCGUAGAGAUGUGGAGGAAUACCGAUGGCGAAGGCAGCCCCCUGGGCCAAUACUGACGCUCAUGCACGAAAGCGUGGGGAGCAAACAGGAUUAGAUACCCUGGUAGUCCACGCCCUAAACGAUGUCAACUAGUUGUUGGGGAUUCAUUUCCUUAGUAACGUAGCUAACGCGUGAAGUUGACCGCCUGGGGAGUACGGUCGCAAGAUUAAAACUCAAAGGAAUUGACGGGGACCCGCACAAGCGGUGGAUGAUGUGGAUUAAUUCGAUGCAACGCGAAAAACCUUACCUA
rnacentral:rRNA from 1 species